CCUACGGGAGGCAGCAGUCGGGAAUAUUGCGCAAUGGAGGAAACUCUGACGCAGUGACGCCGCGUAUAGGAAGAAGGUUUUCGGAUUGUAAACUAUUGUCGUUAGGGAAGAGAAAGGACAGUACCUAAGGAGGAAGCUCCGGCUAACUACGUGCCAGCAGCCGCGGUAAUACGUAGGGAGCGAGCGUUAUCCGGAAUUAUUGGGUGUAAAGGGUGCGUAGACGGGAAUGCAAGUUGGUUGGAAAACCCCUGGGCUAAACUGAGGAACUGCAACUAAAACUACAUUUCUUGGUGGCAGGGAGGGAAGUGGAAUUCCUAGUGUAGCGGUGAAAUGCGUAGAUAUUAGGAGGAACACCAGUGGCGAAGGCGACUUACUGGACUGUAACUGACGUUGAGGCACGAAAGUGUGGGGAGCAAACAGGAUUAGAUACCCGAGUAGUC
rnacentral:rRNA from 1 species